rnacentral:rRNA from 1 species
GACGAACGCUGGCGGCGUGCUUAACACAUGCAAGUCGAACGAUGAAGCCCUUUCGGGGGUGGAUUAGUGGCGAACGGGUGAGUAACACGUGGGUAACCUGCCCUGUACCCUGGGAUAAGCCUUGGAAACGAGGUCUAAUACCGGAUAUGACCUGCUCUCGCAUGGGGGUGGGUGGAAAGUUUUGGCGGUGCAGGAUGGACCCGCGGCCUAUCAGCUUGUUGGUGGGGUGAUGGCCUACCAAGGCGACGGACGGGUAGCCGGCCUGAGAGGGCGACCGGCCACACUGGGACUGAGACACGGCCCAGACUCCUACGGGAGGCAGCAGGUGGGGAAUAUUGCACAAUGGGGCGAAAGCCUGAUGCAGCGACGCCGCGUGAGGGAUGA